rnacentral:rRNA from 1 species
CCUACGGGAGGCAGCAGUGAGGAAUAUUGGUCAAUGGACGAGAGUCUGAACCAGCCACGUCGCGUGAAGGAUGACUGUCCUCUGGGUUGUAAACUUCUUUUAUAGGGGAAUAAAGUACAGUACGUAUAUUGUUCUGCAUGUACCAUAUGAAUAAGGAUCGGCUAACUCCGUGCCAGGAGCCGCGGUAAUACGGAGGAUCCGAGCGUUAUCCGGAUUUAUUGGGUUUAAAGGGUGGGUAGGCGGGAGCUUAAGUUAGUCGUGAAAGUUUGGGGCUCAACCCUGGAAUUGCUGUUGAUACUGGGAGGCUUGAGUGCAGCAGGGGUAGGCGGAAUUCGUGGUGUAGCGGUGAAAUGCUUAGAUAUCACGAAGAACUCCGAUAGCGAAGGCAGCUUACUGGACUGUAACUGACGCUGAUGCUCGAAAGUGUGGGUAUCAAACAGGAUUAGAUACCCUGGUAGUC